rnacentral:lncRNA from 1 species
UCUGAAAUCAGAUGAAACAGGUCAUCUGGGGCUGGGAUCCAGGCACAGACACGGUCUUUAAACUUCCCAGAUGGUUCUGCAGUACAGCCAUAGUUAGCCAACAAACCAAUCAUGAUAGUAAUCCCAUUCUCCUUGCCAGUGAGUGACUAAAGGACGGACACAGACAUAGUAAUGGCUUCAAAAGAGACAUAAAAGGAAGUGUGGUCCAUAUUCUUCAAAGGGGACAUGAGGAAGAGCUAUGCCUUCUUCCAACUUUCUGGCCUAUGGACAUUGCUGUGUGAGGUUGAUGGAGCUGUCUUGUGACCAUGAGGGACCAGCUUUCAAAGACAGCAGAGCAAAAAUACGGCAAGAACCUGGGUCUCGCACUUGUCGGUGAAGUCUUGCAUUCCAUGUUGAAGUGCUAAGCUAUCCAACCCUGCAGCCCCCGCAUUGCCUGACCUCUGGUUAUGGGAGAUAAUAAAC